GAUGAACGCUGGCGGCGUGCUUAACACAUGCAAGUCGAACGGAAAGGCCCAAGCUUGCUUGGGUACUCGAGUGGCGAACGGGUGAGUAACACGUGGGUGAUCUGCCCUGCACUUCGGGAUAAGCCUGGGAAACUGGGUCUAAUACCGGAUAGGACGAUGGUUUGGAUGCCAUUGUGGAAAGUUUUUUCGGUGUGGGAUGAGCUCGCGGCCUAUCAGCUUGUUGGUGGGGUAAUGGCCUACCAAGGCGUCGACGGGUAGCCGGCCUGAGAGGGUGUACGGCCACAUUGGGACUGAGAUACGGCCCAGACUCCUACGGGAGGCAGCAGUGGGGAAUAUUGCACAAUGGGCGCAAGCCUGAUGCAGCGACGCCGCGUGGGGGAUGACGGCCUUCGGGUUGUAAACUCCUUUCGCUAGGGACGAAGCGUUUUUGUGGCGGUACCUGGAGAAGAAGCACCGGCUAACUACGUA
rnacentral:rRNA from 1 species